ACGAUCCCCUGUAGAGGAAGGACUGCACUCCCACUCCAGCCUCCGGAGCCGGAAGUGGGACAGGUUCGCGUCCUACUGUCAGAGACGUCGCGCGCUCUGGCUGCGGCUUCCGUGCCUCCUAGCCUCCUCGCGCAGGCUGCGGUUGGUGGGGGAGGGGAUGGAAUGGGCUCGCUGUUCCCUCACUGAGACCGGAGCGUGUCUCCCCACCCUCCCGUGCUACGUGAAGCCGGGAGCCGGCUUUGCGGACAGGCUCGUGCCGAGUCUAGGGACGUUGUGGCGGGAGCAGCUGUGACGUGUUUGUACCCCACCCUCUCCGCUGACGCGCCCGUGUUCUGAGGCUUAGACUGCGAGGGGGUGUCACGUGCCCGGCUCCGAACGUGCCCCCGCGCCCGCGUGUGGGGGGCGGCGGCGGCCCUGCGUUAGCUCUGCGCAGCUACCAGUAUGGGGCGGAGCCGGGGGUGAUGUGUGAGAUACUUCUACGCACCUGUGUGGAGUAUACACUCCCAUUUCUCAACUUGCUGUUGCUGCAUCCAGCCUCCUCCAGAGAUGUCCCUUAGCUCCUUGCCUACAUGCUGUGGUUUUCCCCAAAGAGUUUACUCACAAGGAUCCUCAUGAUAAAUAGCCAAUACGACAGUGGCCUGGAAACUGCUAAUGAAGAUCCUAAUUACCUCCUCAAGCUGCAACCUAGCAGCCAGGUAAAGACAGCUGCUGUAAAAGACUACACAGCUCAGGCAGAAGGUGGAAAAGCUUCUAGGAGGAGCCCUAGUAGAUCAUGAGAAGAAAAGUAGGAAGCAGUGAGAAAGGAAAAGACCAAUCAUUUGCUGUUUAACACAGGCACCUUGGCCUGAAACCUAGAGAAGACGUAUCAGCCUCAGUUUCCCAACUUUCCCUUCAGAAAGGGAAAGAUAACCCUGAGAAAGUGAUGAAAGACUUGUGAGCCCAGGCUGUGAAGAGGACCAAUUUGGACUUCUGAGGUAGGGGCAAGGAGUCAGAAGUUUCUGUUACCUUAAAAGUGUUGAACCCCUAAAUCAAUGGUUCUCAACCUUUUAGACUGAAGAUGCCCCCUCAGGAAAAGCCAGCCCCUAGGUUUCACUUAGUUUUGACUAUGGAAAAAAUAGCGCUUCUUCAGAGACCACAAAAGGUCAGGAUAUGUGUUUUUGAUGCUAUGAAUUCCUAUGUAAAAUCUCCGGGUUUA